UUUUCCGCCUUGAAGUUUCUUCAUACCCGAAGUUAGGACCACACCGUAUUUUUAUGGAGUCGACCUGCUCUGCCGAACAUCCGGUAUCUAGAAGCGUUUAACGUUGGGCGCUCCUUGACGAAAAGUGUCGUGACGGAAGUGUUCGUGUUGCUUCAAGGAGUUGGAUAUAUAAACCAAAGGUAAUUUAUUUAAUUUCUAGAGUUGUGUUUCAGUCGCCGCUACCGUAAAUAACGUUGCAAUUAAUUCGCCGUAUGCAACCGUUUCCGUCAAUAUAUUUUUGAUGCGUCCGAAAGCUCUUGUUAUUUAGAAGACGAGGGCAAAUUAAUGUUUUAGAACUUCAGCCACGUUAAUCCACUAGUGGCAGGGUUUUGUUUCAUAUGUUAAUUUAAAACGAGCAUUAAAAUUACAAGGCCGUGCAGGUUUAUGCCGUUAUCAGGUUGAUAAGAGACCUCUAUGCCAGAGAAAUGCCAAUGAACAAAUGGGUGUUAAUAGGGUUAUCAAUUUUAGAAAUUUCAAUCCGGCCAAUGAAACCAAUUACAGAGCAGGCCGCAGAAAUUACUAAAGAAGUUUGGAGGCUCUUAUCUGAAUACGCUGUGUCGACUGGAAAAACCGUCGAUCCCUCCAUGAUGGUGCAGCCGAAUUUUAUAAAAGAAUGUCUCGACAUAAGAAGCUUUAUGGAAUCCAUUCUCUAAGUUGGUGUGGGGUAAUUUAAAGAGAUCUAUUGUAACGAAGCACUUGUUUUCCGUCUUGAAGUUUCAUACCGGAAGUUAUGACCACACCGUAUAUUUGUGGAGGUCGACAGCUUUGCUGAACACUUCUUUUGCCUUUUCCAUCUUCGCAGCUACGUUUUUUUUCCGAAGUGACUGCCGCUAUUUUCUCGACCUGUCCGAUUUCUGGAGCUGCCGUUCCGGUUGAGACCGAGCCGCCAGACCGUUGUUACCCCCGACCUCGACCAAGCACGAGGGUGUUCGCUUAGUGACGGUCGAGUACGUCCGUCCGUCCGCCCGUUUGUUUCGUUUCGCCGACUGCUGCUACGUUUAAUUGAGGAAUAUUUUGUAUUUGGGGGAUCCGCUGUCCAAUUGUGGAGACAAUUUUCUUUUGCAAUUGAUAUUGAGGAUAAACCAGUAUUCUUUUGGUACCUAAUGGAUUGAUUUUACGGUUAUUACUACCUUUGUGUCUUCUCAAUUUCAUACGGGGAGAGUUAAGAUAGGUAAAUCUCAAGCUUUUAUUUUAUUUUCCAACCCUUAGUUAGUUGACCGCUAUGCUGUGGGUUUGAGGUAGCACAGCGCCAACUCUCCUACUAUUAUAAUAGCGUAUAGAAGCGGACGAAGAUGUUUUCGUGAUCGCCGGGUUAGUGCCACUACAUGUGACCAUCAAAGUGAAGGAGUUUGGUGGGGGUAAUAUGGAAGCGAUGGGGUUGUUGCGGCAGGGAUGGGACAAGAGACAUUCGUGGAUGAAGCGGCUGAUCCGCAAUAUAGAACAUUGGAUUAAUGGCCAGCAUGGGAAUAUGAGUUAUUAUCUCACCAAAUUCCUCUGCGGAGACCGAAAACUUGGCUGGUAUGUACAAUGGAUUGGAACGAGAGGGGACGGGGAUGAAUUCUGAUUGUGGGAACUUUGACGGCAAUGAGCGCUUAGUCUUCGAAUGCGCUAUAUGGGCAGAAUCGGAUUAGAGUGGUGACUCAAUGUGGUGACGAGGAGUUAACCCCGGAUAAUAUUGGGGAUUUACGAUAAUUCAACCGGUUAAACCGGGUUGGUAGAUUUUGCUAUGGUUACAAUUAUUGCCACAAUUUUUUCUAUGGUGAUUUCUACCAAUCCGGCUAAAACGGUUGAAUGAUCGUAAAUCCCCAUUACAACAACGAGUGGUAGUGAACGAGGAUGGAAGGUAAUAAGGUGAUAUCACAACUAUGUGUCAUGAUUUACCGAACGAGAGAGAUGAAAGGUAAGGGUAAAUAAGAGGCGAGAGCAGAUAAGACAGGCAAUAUAAUACACAUUGGCUUUCAACUAGAUUCAUCGCCUAAUCGCACAAGACGAUAUGACCUCGGACGGUACCCGUCUUGUAUAAUCACUUGCCAAGAGGACAGGGUUUUUGGUGGGCCUGGAUGGAAUGGAGUUCCACACAGACCCUUCGCUACGGAGUUAAGCGGGAGACAGAUUUUAAUAAACCUUCCAAAAAAAGGACAAACACAUCAAUGAUGUAGUAGAGAAACGAAACAAUGGGUAGGCAAUAUUUACGGGAUAUAGUAGCAAGUUUCAAAUAUUAAAUAAUAUUAAAAAUAUAUAAUUACUAUACAGCAACUCAACAUAAGUGAGCAAUGCUACAUCAGGCCGGGUAGAACCGAAAACUGACAAAAGAUAUUUAGAAGAUCAUUCGCAAACCAAUCAAGCAAAGGGGACGCUGCAAACUACUGAAAAAUAUUCAUGUUAUGCUGCUGAGUGAAACCAAAAAAUCGAGAAAGAUAAGACUGGAACAAAGAUCGAAUUUUAUCCUGAAGGUGAAGUAGUAGGCAAGGGACAACUAACUGUAGAGUGAAUGGAUAUUUUCGGAAUGCCCAUAGACAAACUAGUGCACAUUUGAAUUUGGAACAAAUUUUUACAUUAUGAGGGGUAAUUUCAACCGAAAUGGCUUGCUACUAUUUGCACAAAUACAUUUUACUACAGAAUAGAAGAAAUGGGAACGCUGAUACUGACAAGAAGACU